UCCCAAAGUGGCGGGAUUACAGACAUGACUAUGCCAAGCCAAUCACUGAGAUAUAAUUUUCUCUAGGAGAACUCCACAUUAAAAAACAACAAACACACUGGUCAUGGUGGCUCACGCCUGUAUCCCAGCACUUUGGGAGGCCAACGCAGGUGGGUCAGUUGAGCUCAGGAGUUCAAGACCAGCUUGACCAACAUGGUAAAACCCCAUUUCUACUA